GGAUGAAGAACGUAGCGAAAUGCGAUAAGUAGUGUGAAUUGCAGAAUUCAGUGAAUCAUCGAAUCUUUGAACGCACAUUGCGCCCCAUGGUAUUCCGUGGGGCAUGCCUGUUCGAGCGUCAUUUACCCCCUCAAGCUCCGCUUGGUGUUGGGCGUCUGUCCCGCUUCGCGCGCGGACUCGCCCCAAAAGGUAUUGGCAGCGGUCGUGCCAGCUUCUCGCGCAGCACAUUGCGCUUCUCGAGGCACCGGUGGGCCCGCGUCCAUCAAGCUCACCCCCCCAGUUUGACCUCGGAUCAGGUAGGGAUACCCGCUGAACUUAAGCAUAUCAAUAAGCGGAGGA
rnacentral:misc_RNA from 1 species